GCAGAUUCUCUCACAAAGAAAGUAAUCUCCGGUCAAAAAACCCUGAAGGAGGCAUUUUCAACAACUAUGCCACACAACAGCGCAAGGGCUCAAGAAAUCACAAGGUACAUCGCGGAAUACAUAGCGUGUGAUUUACGUCCCUUUUCUGCAGUAGAUGGCAAAGGAUUUAAAAGAAACCUGAAGUGUUUUCCACAACAUAAUUGGCGUCACGAACAAGAUUGGCAUCGGGCUGGCUGGCUUUCGACUGCAGAAGGCGCCGUGGGUCGGGUCGCACAAACAACACAUGGCCACGUUGAGAGGGCCAACCGUGAGAGUUGAGGAGGCUGGCAGGAUUCGUGAUACCGGCUCGACGGCCCGAGCGACUGCAUGGACGAAUCCACCGCGCCGUGUCACCCUCAGUAGGAGAAGAAGACUGCU
ensembl:lncRNA